UUCUUAUGAUGGAGCUUAGAGGGGGCGGGGGUGGUAUGCCCGGAUAUCCCUGAAGGCUCAACCUUCCCACUGUCUCCCAUCUUCACCCUGGAGUUGCUAAAACAGACCUACCUUUGGCAAAAUAUAUGGCUGUUUCUUACUCAGUAAGACCCAUUUCUUCUGAGGAGAGCAGUAGAUUUCAUCAAUAUCACAUGGCAAUACAUUGACUGUGGAAAUGAGGUGUAAAUCUGGAAUUCUAAAGAUGUACAGGUUACCCAAGAUAUCGCCUGCCUGAAAUCAGAGCAGUGGCACCUGGUCAGUGAGGAAAAGUUAAGUAUGGAGGAAGCAGUGUUAUCUGCUCAGAGAUACACCACUGUGUCUUCAAGUCCUGUAACAAGACUGAAAGCUGUGACCAGCCUGCCUCACAGAGUGUCUACACUGAUCCAUGGAAUAAGAUUCUCUAGACCUGGGGGGAUGACUCAUUCCCACAGAUGGUAGCAAGAAGAUGGUUCCAUCCAUGUAAGACAGAACCAGCUAAAAAAGACGCACACACAGACACACAUCAGAACUCCAAAUUUCUGGAUACCGUUUCAGCUGCAAGUAGCCUGCUCUCCAGGCUCUGCAGCCCCUUGGCUUUGAUCUGUGAAUAUACAAAUAUCUCUGCUCUGCAGCUGCACCUGCCCUAACUCUCUGCCUCCUCAAACAGCAGUGUUGCUCUGAGCUCUGUCCCUCCCUCCUCACCACAGCAUCCCAAGAGUGCGGCCCACACCAAGGGAGCGACCGCUGGCCCCCGCCCCAGGGAAAGGAGUCCCAGAAUGGACUGCGGACCAACGGACAAAGCGCCAGGGUGGGCUGUGGGCGGGCAGACAAGGCGGGCUGCCAGAACGGGCAGGUGGAGGCAAAAGAGCCACGCCAUCAAAACAGACCAUGGUGUGCUCUUAUGCAAACCAUUACAGGUAUAACUUUUGCUAUUCACCCUAUGCAGAUAUCCCCUGCGGUGUUCUUCUCCUCUGUUACAAUUACUCUACAGGUCUAUCUCCACACAGUGCCUGCUGUCACAAGUCCACCUGAGACAGCUCCAUCUCCUGAGACCUACAGACAAAAGCUGCCUUCCUCCAAGAACCUCAUCUGACUGAAGACUCCCAAGACACACACUAAAUCCUACAAAAGACAGACUUGGGACCUUCCAGCUACAGAUGAACUCUCUUGCCAAAGCCAAAUGGCUGCUGAACUUGGGGAAAAUUACAUGAUAGUGAGGAAAACAUAAUGUCUAUCUAGAUUAAUUAAUUGAUGUUCAAAACUGAUGUUAUUAGCCUCAAAUUGUACUACCCAUGGAAAAAUUAAUUGAUCGUACAAUCUCUUACCUUCUCAACACUUACCUUAACUCUUACUACUGUGGCUUUGUUGUGCUACUUCUCUAGGCUAUAUGUUUUCUUCUGAUACUUCCACUCCACCCUAAAUUUUCACAACUAAUGACACAGUCACACAGUGUCACACACACCCCGUUUUCUUAUAAAAACAGACGGGAUACUUGUGGGGCAUUGGGCUAUGCACAGACGGCCUGG